rnacentral:rRNA from 1 species
AUCCUACGGGACGCAGCAGUGGGGAAUAUUGGGCAAUGGGCGCAAGCCUGACCCAGCAACGCCGCGUGAAGGAAGACGGCUUUCGGGUUGUAAACUUCUUUUCUUGGGGACGAAGAAAGUGACGGUACCCAAGGAAUAAGCCACGGCUAACUGCGUGCCAGCAGCCGCGGUCAUACGUAUGUGGCACGCUUUAUCCGGAUUUAUUGGGUGUAAAGGGCGUUUAGGCGGGAUUGCAAGUCCGAUGUGAACACCACGGGCUC